GUUAGUUUAUAUGGUGAUAGUUUAUAGGGUGUUAGUUUAUAGGGUGUUAGUUUAUAUGGUGAUAGUUUAUAGGGUGUUAGUUUAUAGGGUGUUAGUUUAUAGGGUGUUAGUUUAUAGGGUGAUAGUUUAUAGGGUGUUAGUUUAUUGGGUGUUAGUUUAGCAGGGUGUUAGUUUAGCAGGGUGUUAGUUUAUAGGGUGUUAGUUUAUAGGGUGUUAGUUUAGCAGGGUGUUAGUUUAUAGGGUGUUAGUUUAUAGGGUGUUAGUUUAUAGGGUGUUAGUUUAUAGGGUGUUAGUUUAUAGGGUGUUCGUUUAUAGUGUGUUAGUUUAUCUGGGUGUUAGUUUAUCUGGGUGUUAGUUUAUCUGGGUGUUAGUUUAUAGGGUGUUAGUUUAUAGGGUGAUAGUUUAUAGGGUGUUAGUUUAUAGGUGUGUUAGUUUAUCUGGGUGUUAGUUUAUCAGGGUGUUAGUUUAUCAGGGUGUUAGUUUAUAGGGUGUUAGUUUAUAGGGUGUUAGUUUAUCAGGGUGUUAGUUUAUAUGGUGUUAGUUUAUAGGGUGUUCGUUUAUAGUGUGUUAGUUUAUCUGGGUGUUAGUUUAUCAGGGUGUUAGUUUAUCAGGGUGUUAGUUUAUAUGGUGUUAGUUUAUAGGGUGAUAGUUUAUCAGGGUGUUAGUUUAUAGGGUGUUAGUUUAUAGGGUGUUAGUUUAUCAGGGUACAAUGCAGAUGUAGAAGCACGGUGGCUAGGAAAAACUCCCUAGAAAGGCCAGAACCUAGGAAGAAACCUAGAGAGGAACCAGGCUAUGAGGGGUGGCCAGUCCUCUUCUGGCUGUGCCGGGUAGAGAGGAACCAGGCUAUGAGGGGUGGCCAGUCCUCUUCUGGCUGUGCUGGGUAGAGAGGAACCAGGC
rnacentral:lncRNA from 1 species